rnacentral:rRNA from 1 species
UUAAGCGACUAAGCGUACACGGUGGAUGCCCUGGCAGUCAGAGGCGAUGAAGGACGUGCUAAUCUGCGAAAAGCGUCGGUAAGGUGAUAUGAACCGUUAUAACCGGCGAUGUCCGAAUGGGGAAACCCAGUGCAAUUCGUUGCACUAUCGUUAACUGAAUACAUAGGUUAACGAGGCGAACCGGGGGAACUGAAACAUCUAAGUACCCCGAGGAAAAGAAAUCAACCGAGAUUCCCCCAGUAGCGGCGAGCGAACGGGGAGCAGCCCAGAGUCUGAAUCAGCUUGUGUGUUAGUGGAACGGUCUGGAAAGUCCGACGGUACAGGGUGAUAGUCCCGUACACCAAAAUGCACAGGNUGUGAACUCGAAGAGUAGGGCGGGACACGUGGUAUCCUGUCUGAAUAUGGGGGGACCAUCCUCCAAGGCUAAAUACUCCUGACUGACCGAUAGUGAACCAGUACCGUGAGGGAAAGGCGAAAAGAACCCCGGCGAGGGGAGUGAAAAAGAACCUGAAACCGUGUACGUACAAGCAGUGGGAGCACCUUCGGGUGUGACUGCGUACCUUUUGUAUAAUGGGUCAGCGACUUAUAUUCUGUAGCAAGGUUAACCGUAUAGGGGAGCCGCAGGGAAACCGAGUCUUAACUGGGCGUUAAGUUGCAGGGUAUAGACCCGAAACCCGGUGAUCUAGCCAUGGGCAGGUUGAAGGUUGGGUAACACUAACUGGAGGACCGAACCGACUAAUGUUGAAAAAUUAGCGGAUGACUUGUGGCUGGGGGUGAAAGGCCAAUCAAACCGGGAGAUAGCUGGUUCUCCCCGAAAGCUAUUUAGGUAGCGCCUCGUGAACUCAUCUUCGGGGGUAGAGCACUGUUUCGGCUAGGGGGUCAUCCCGACUUACCAACCCGAUGCAAACUACGAAUACCGAAGAAUGUUAUCACGGGAGACACACGGCGGGUGCUAACGUCCGUCGUGAAGAGGGAAACAACCCAGACCGCCAGCUAAGGUCCCAAAGUCAUGGUUAAGUGGGAAACGAUGUGGGAAGGCACAGACAGCCAGGAUGUUGGCUUAGAAGCAGCCAUCAUUUAAAGAAAGCGUAAUAGCUCACUGGUCGAGUCGGCCUGCGCGGAAGAUGUAACGGGGCUAAACCAUGCACCGAAGCUGCGGCAGCGACACUAUGUGUUGUUGGGUAGGGGAGCGUUCUGUAAGCCUGCGAAGGUGUGCUGUGAGGCAUGCUGGAGGUAUCAGAAGUGCGAAUGCUGACAUAAGUAACGAUAAAGCGGGUGAAAAGCCCGCUCGCCGGAAGACCAAGGGUUCCUGUCCAACGUUAAUCGGGGCAGGGUGAGUCGACCCCUAAGGCGAGGCCGAAAGGCGUAGUCGAUGGGAAACAGGUUAAUAUUCCUGUACUUGGUGUUACUGCGAAGGGGGGACGGAGAAGGCUAUGUUAGCCGGGCGACGGUUGUCCCGGUUUAAGCAUGUAGGCUGNUCCAGGCAAAUCCGGAUAAUCAAGGCUGAGGUGUGAUGACGAGGCACUACGGUGCUGAAGUAACAAAUGCCCUGCUUCCAGGAAAAGCCUCUAAGCAUCAGGUAACAUCAAAUCGUACCCCAAACCGACACAGGUGGUCAGGUAGAGAAUACCAAGGCGCUUGAGAGAACUCGGGUGAAGGAACUAGGCAAAAUGGUGCCGUAACUUCGGGAGAAGGCACGCUGGUGUGUAGGUGAAGUCCCUGCGGAUGGAGCUGAGACCAGUCGAAGAUACCAGCUGGCUGCAACUGUUUAUUAAAAACACAGCACUGUGCAAACACGAAAGUGGACGUAUACGGUGUGACGCCUGCCCGGUGCCGGAAGGUUAAUUGAUGGGGUUAUCCGUAAGGAGAAGCUCUUGAUCGAAGCCCCGGUAAACGGCGGCCGUAACUAUAACGGUCCUAAGGUAGCGAAAUUCCUUGUCGGGUAAGUUCCGACCUGCACGAAUGGCGUAAUGAUGGCCAGGCUGUCUCCACCCGAGACUCAGUGAAAUUGAACUCGCUGUGAAGAUGCAGUGUACCCGCGGCAAGACGGAAAGACCCCGUGAACCUUUACUAUAGCUUGACACUGAACAUUGAGCCUUGAUGUGUAGGAUAGGUGGGAGGCUUUGAAGCGUGGACGCCAGUCUGCGUGGAGCCAACCUUGAAAUACCACCCUUUAAUGUUUGAUGUUCUAACGUUGGCCCCUGACCGGGGUUGCGGACAGUGUCUGGUGGGUAGUUUGACUGGGGCGGUCUCCUCCCAAAGCGUAACGGAGGAGCACGAAGGUUAGCUAAUCCUGGUCGGACAUCAGGAGGUUAGUGCAAUGGCAUAAGCUAGCUUGACUGCGAGCGUGACGGCGCGAGCAGGUGCGAAAGCAGGUCAUAGUGAUCCGGUGGUUCUGAAUGGAAGGGCCAUCGCUCAACGGAUAAAAGGUACUCCGGGGAUAACAGGCUGAUACCGCCCAAGAGUUCAUAUCGACGGCGGUGUUUGGCACCUCGAUGUCGGCUCAUCACAUCCUGGGGCUGAAGUAGGUCCCAAGGGUAUGGCUGUUCGCCAUUUAAAGUGGUACGCGAGCUGGGUUUAGAACGUCGUGAGACAGUUCGGUCCCUAUCUGCCGUGGGCGCUGGAGAAUUGAGGGGGGCUGCUCCUAGUACGAGAGGACCGGAGUGGACGCAUCACUGGUGUUCGGGUUGUCAUGCCAAUGGCACUGCCCGGUAGCUAAAUGCGGAAGAGAUAAGUGCUGAAAGCAUCUAAGCACGAAACUUGCCCCGAGAUGAGUUCUCCCUGAGACUUUAAGUCUCCUGAAGGAACGUUAAAGACGAUGACGUUGAUAGGCCGGGUGUGUAAGCGCAGCGAUGCGUUGAGCUAACCGGUACUAAUGAACCGUGAGGCUUAACCUU